rnacentral:rRNA from 1 species
CCCCUUAGAGUUUGAUCAUGGCUCAAAAUGAACGUUGGCGGCGUGGAUUAGGCAUGCAAGUCGAGCGAGAACCCGCAGGGGGGACAGCGGCGAACGGGGUAGGAAUACGUAGGUAACGUACCCUCGGGGCGAGGACAGCCACGGGAAACUGUGGGUAAUACUCGAUAAACUUCCCAAUCAUUAUGGAAGGGGAAGCAAUGGGUGUGAUUCCACCUGAGGAGCGGCUUACGCAGUAUCAGCUAGUUGGUGAGGUAACGGCUCACCAAGGCUACGACGCUUAGGGGGUGUGAGAGCAUGGCCCCCACCACUGGCACUGAGACACUGGCCAGACACCUACGGGUGGCUGCAGUCAAGAAUCUUCGGCAAUGGACGCAAGUCUGACCGAGCGACGCCGCGUGUGGGAUGAAGGCCUUCGGGUUGUAAACCACUGUCAGAGGGGAUGAAGUAUACGAGAGUUAUCUCUUGUAUUUGACAGAGCCUCAGAGGAAGCACGGGCUAAGUUCGUGCCAGCAGCCGCGGUAAUACGAACUGUGCGAACGUUAUUCGGAAUCACUGGGCUUAGAGGGUGCGUAGGCGGUUAUCUAAGUCAGGUGUGAAAUCUCUCGGCUCAACCGGGAAACUGCGCUUGAAACUGGGUGACUGGAGUGAUGGCAGGGGGUGGUGUGGAACCUUCCGGGUGGGAGCGGUUAUAAUGUUGUAAAUUAUCGGAAGGGACCGCCAGCAGCGAAAGCGGCACACUGUUCAUUUUUCUGACGCUGAGCACGAAGCUUAGGGGGGAGUGGAACGGGAUUAGAUCCCCCGGUCAUCCUAGCAGUAACACUGACACCGGGGGGAGAGAGGAGGGUGUUCUCCCGUCUUCUCUCUCCCAGUAACCAAAUCCAUAAGUGCUCCGGCUUGAGGAGAGUAUCGCUCGCAGGCUGACUCAAGAAUGACGGAUCAACAGCGUGGCAUGUGACUUAGUUCGAGCUACGGCGAGCACU